UGAGUUUAGAGACCUUUUUGACACUCAUGACUGCGUCUGCCGCUCCCCCGCCCGCUAGCUAGUGGUAAUUUUCCCACCUAGCGGAGGUCUUCAGAAAUAUCUUCAGAAACGGUUGGUCUCCAGAUCGCUCUCCCGCCGUUCCCAUCUUAGGGCCUCUCCAGCCACCAAGCAAUAAGUCAAUAUCAGUUCAACAACUGGAGUGAAGAUUUCGAAUAUGAGGAAGAGAAAGAAGCAGAAGAAAAACUAAAAACACUAAACAAGGAGUUGAAGGAUCUGAAAAGGACCUGGACCCAGCAGAUGGCAGCUCUUGAAACCCCAGGUUUAAGAAUAAAAAGAAGAUGAAAAAGAAGAAAGAAUCUGUUGUUCACUCUUUUUGAACUUAUCAGAAGCCCGUGGGAAAUUUUAAUACUGAUAACAUUUCAAAGUGCAUUGCCCCA
rnacentral:lncRNA from 1 species